rnacentral:rRNA from 1 species
GAUGAACGCUGGCGGCGUGCCUAAUACAUGCAAGUCGAGCGAACAGACGAGGAGCUUGCUCCUCUGACGUUAGCGGCGGACGGGUGAGUAACACGUGGAUAACCUACCUAUAAGACUGGGAUAACUUCGGGAAACCGGAGCUAAUCCCGGAUAAUAUCUUGAACCGCAUGGUUCAAUAGUGAAAGACGGUUUUGCUGUCACUUAUAGAUGGAUCCGCGCCGCAUUAGCUAGUUGGUAAGGUAACGGCUUACCAAGGCAACGAUGCGUUGCCGACCUGAGAGAGUGAUCGGCCACACUGGAACUGAGACACGGUCCAGACUCCUACGGGAGGCAGCAGUAGGGAAUCGUCCGCAAUGGGCGAAAGCCUGACGGAGCGACGCCGCGUGAGUGAUGAAGGUCUUCGGAUCGUAAAACUCUGUUAUUAGGUAAGAACAAAUGUGUAAGUAACUAUGCACGUCUUGACGGUACCUAAUCAGAAAGCCACGGCUAACUACGUG